AUAGUCUGUUUUUUCUUCAGAACGUAUAAAUCUUUUGCCUUUUACUAAAGAUUUCCGUGGAGAAAAACGGUAACGAGUUUGUAAGCGAAUUUUUGGAAGCCUUGUUUUGGGGAGGCU
ensembl:snRNA U5 U5 spliceosomal RNA